GAAAAUUACAAGCAUAAGUUCAAAACUCAAAAGACUUGGCGGCGCUUUAGAUCCCCCUAGAGGAGCCUGUCCUAUAGCCGAUAACCCCCGUUAAACCUUACCUUUUUUCCCCCCCCCCAGUCUAUAUACCGCCGUCGUCAGCUUACCCUUUGAAGGACCCCUCGUAAGCAAAAUUGGUUACGCCCAAAACGUCAGGUCGAGGUGUAGCAUACAAAAAGGAAAGAGAUGGGCUACAUUUCCUAUUUAGGGUUCCCCGAAAAAUAUUUUGAAAAAAAUAUAUUGAAGAAGGAUUUAGUAGUAAGUAAUAAAUAGAGAGUUUU
rnacentral:rRNA from 1 species